AGAUAGCUUUCUAAGACCUCUGUUAGCAAGAAGGGUUUGGUGUGCAGGCACCAAUCCUAAUAUUACGGGAGCUCAGAGGUCUUUGAGUGCAGAGCAAAUAGCUUUUAAGAGCAAUGCCAAUUGCUAAAAGGAUCAUAUUACAAUAAUAGAUUUGAAAGCUUAUACUCCAAACAGCAUUGCGAAUGAGAGCUGACAACAGAGAUGAAUUUUGUGAGCUGCUAGGAGCAGAGCAGGACUUGCUUAUUGCACUAAUGAAUGUGGCUUGUGGGAAAGCUGACACCUCAUUGAAAUCAGGCCUCUCAAUCACCCAUGAUUACUGUGGGACUCAGAAGGGAUGCAGAAGCAGCUACACGAUGCUGGAUGAGAAGGCACCGGAAGCUAUAAAAAUGAAAAGAGAUGGAUGGAUAAUUCUGACAUUCUCAGCCUCAGUCUGGAGAGGGAUCUGGAAGGAGCUGGGAGCCUGCUCAGCUGCUGCUUGACGGACUGCUUUUCAUCCAUUUUGAGAGGAAGCCUCAGAAGCUGAGCUCUCGAGCGGAAAUGGAGGACGAAGUGAGGUGCAAGGGAGCAUGUGGCCCAGAAGAGGCAUACAAAUCCUGCCUACACACUCUAUGUGAACAGCCGGAGCUGACUCACGGGCAGCACAGGAUGAGACUGCCUGCCUAGCAAAUUGAGUGGAUACUUCGGUCAGUGCACCUUGAGCUCCAGGAGGCUGUGCAAAGCAGAGCCCCAGGACAUUUCUCGGAGAAGAGGGAGGGGUGUGGUUAUCGUUGUCAUUUCACCGUAGCAGAUAGAACGCUGUCUGGAGACACCGCCCUUGCUGGAAAAUUGAUUAAGGUCUGGAUUUGGAAGCAAAAGAUCACCUCUGCUGCUUUGCUAACUGAUAAGAAGAAGUUGGUCUGUGUCUGCAGGAGGGACUUUCCCCAAAACUCUGCACCUGUGGAUACCAGCCAUCAGACACCGCCACUUCACAUGCACCUCCAGCUCUGAGGGUCAGCCGAAGUCAUCCUAGCUUGCAAGGUACACAUAUUCUCUAGUUCUGGGAUCCUAUCCUAUAUAAAGGACAAGAAAUAGGUGUGAGACAGGAGGCAGGAAAUGUGUCAUUUCACUAUAACUGUGCAGAAAAUGGUCAGAUGCUGUGGAUAGUCACUGGGGAAGCUGAGGGAGCCAUGCCCCUGAGCAUCCAUUCCAGCACAGCUCUAAAGGAGUCUAUGGCUGAGUUGCUUGGGAGGCAACACACCUAGCACAGAGAUACACACUUCUGCCAAGGAAGUCCUUCAGUCUUAGGAACUCCUAAAGAUCCACCUGACUUGAACAUCUUUUGCCUUUGUGGUGGAACUCAGCUGCAGAUCAUGGCAGGGAUCUUCACCAGCUUGACACAUUCACCAAAAGAAGAACAAUCUGAGCUAAUAAAAGAAGGAAAUGAAUUAGGAAGCAAUUUGUUGAACUGGAUUUUAUUCUUUACUAAAACUUAAAUCUUGUUUGAUCGGACUUUUGUUUUUAUUGCCUUGGUCUCAGCCUUUUUGCUGUGAUUUUAACAUUUCCUUUUUGGCUUUUGUAGCCUUCAUCCUGAUGUACAGAAUUCAGAAUAAAGGUGAGUUUAGUUAUCCCAUGGGGACAUACGAAGGAAAGACAAAUCAAACUGAACGAGAGCCUUGGUAGAAAACGCAGCGUAUCUAACAAUGCAUAAUUGGCAACAGAAAACGUGUCAGAUGGGAUUUGUUUGGAGAAGAACUUCCAAAGAAGGCUGAGAGCCAAGCUGAAGUAGUCACCUAAAGUUACUUUAAGAUUUAUGUGCUGAUGAUAGACUGUGGGGCAAAGCAUUCACACGGGGAAGGCCACGCUCACUAGUUCACUUGGUCAAUUCUCAAUAAAGAAUUACCAGCCCUGAGUGAUAUUGCUUGGAACAGGUAUCUACCAUUAAAAUUUU
rnacentral:lncRNA from 7 species